UGUGUGUGUCUGUGUAAAGGCCUCUUUACAGUUGCUGUUCCUGAGCUGUGGCGCGACAAUGUGAUGUCAAAAUGAUUUAGAUCUCG